rnacentral:pre_miRNA from 1 species
AGUAGUAUUGCUGGAUCAUAUGGUAAUUCUGUGUUUACUUUUUAAGAAAAUGCCAAACUGUUUUCCAAAGCAGCUGCACCAUUUUACAUUCCCAUGAGCAAU